rnacentral:rRNA from 1 species
GACGAACGCUGGCGGCGUGCUUAACACAUGCAAGUCGAACGGAAAGGCCCUGCUUUUGUGGGGUGCUCGAGUGGCGAACGGGUGAGUAACACGUGAGUAACCUGCCCUUGACUUUGGGAUAACUUCAGGAAACUGGGGCUAAUACCGGAUAGGAGCUCCUGCUGCAUGGUGGGGGUUGGAAAGUUUCGGCGGUUGGGGAUGGACUCGCGGCUUAUCAGCUUGUUGGUGGGGUAGUGGCUUACCAAGGCUUUGACGGGUAGCCGGCCUGAGAGGGUGACCGGCCACAGUGGGACUGAGAUACGGCCCAGACUCCUACGGGAGGCAGCAGUGGGAAAUAUUGCACAAUGGGCGGAAGCCUGAUGCAGCAACGCCGCGUGCGGGAUGACGGCCUUCGGGUUGUAAACCGCUUUCGCCUGUGACGAAGCGUGAGUGACGGUAAUGGGUAAAGAAGCACCGGCUAACUACG